UACGUAGGGGGCAAGCGUUGUCCGGAUUUAUUGGGCGUAAAGAGCGUGUAGGCGGCCUGACAGGUCUGCUGUGAAAACUCGAGGCUCAACCUCGAGAUGUCGGCGGAAACCGUCUGGCUAGAGUCCGGAAGAGGAGAGUGGAAUUCCUGGUGUAGCGGUGAAAUGCGCAGAUAUCAGGAGGAACACCGGUGGCGAAGGCGGCUUUCUGGACAGAUACCGACGCUGAGGCACGAAAGCUAGGGGAGCAAACAGG
rnacentral:rRNA from 1 species